rnacentral:lncRNA from 1 species
UGUGGACGCUGUCUUGCAGGUGCUCGAUACCGACGACAGGUGACAGGGAGUUGGCCGUAAUAGAUUGGCGCAUCAGGUAGGGGAGAAAGAUAACAUUGCAUCAUGACAAAAAUCAGAGCCCAACGCUCGACUGCAAUCGGAUCAGCAAGACGCUCUUCCCGUCGGGAAGAGGUUCCUUCCCCUCUUCCAGUAGCAGAGCCUAGUUCUUCACGUCUCGUGAUCACCACGAACGUCCAGAUUGCUGCACUCGUGCAGCAAAUGAAUGUUCUUACGAAGGCAGUCAAAAGCCUCCAACAAUAGCGACCCAGCAGCAGCUGCCAGCGGAGCCACCGG